GGAGACCCCCGGGGUCCCCUCCCAGCUGCUCCGGAGCCUCCCCGAGGGCACCGAACCCCAAAUCUGCCUCUGCAACGUCAGCAACCCCGCGGGGUGGAGCGCGGCCCGCGCCCGCCUCACCUGCCCAGAAAUUCCUGGGAAUUUCGGCCACUGGACUCUGCUGGCCGUGGGCGUGGCCGUGGGGCUGACCCUGCUCCUGGUGGGCGGCUGGUGGUGGAGGAGGAGGAAGAGGAGGAAGAAUUCCCGGGAAGGGCCCCCCGGAACGCCCCCGGAGCAGGCGGUGACCAUCUACGCCACGGUGGGAGAGAAGAAACCCCGCCAGGACCCCGCCGGGGCUGGCGAGGCCACCC
rnacentral:lncRNA from 1 species